rnacentral:rRNA from 1 species
CUACGGGGGGCUGCAGUGGGGAAUAUUGGACAAUGGGGGAAACCCUGAUCCAGCAAUGCCGCGUGUGUGAAGAAGGCCUGCGGGUUGUAAAGCACUUUCGGUUGGGAGGACUGCUUCUAGCACUAAUAUUGUUGGAAGUUGACGUUACCUUCAGAAGAAGCACCGGCUAGCGCCGUGCCAGCAGCCGCGGUAAUGCGGAGGGUGCAAGCGUUAAUCGGAAUUACUGGGCGUAAAGCGCGCGUAGGCGGCUAGAUCAGUCGGGUGUGAAAGCCCCGGGCUUAACCUGGGAACUGCAUCCGAUACUGUCUAGCUUGAGUACAGGAGAGGAGAGUGGAAUUCCACAUGUAGCGGUGAAAUGCGUAGAUAUGUGGAGGAACACCAAUGGCGAAGGCAGCUCUCUGGCCUGAUACUGACGCUGAGGUGCGAAAGCGUGGGGAGCAAACAGGAUUAGAUACCCGAGUAGUC